rnacentral:rRNA from 1 species
AUGGGAGAUUCUGCGCAGCAUGAUCUUCCAGCCCCGUUUUGGAGCGCUGGAUCCUCUCUCUCUCUCGCCAGCUUCCGCCGCAGAUUCAUUCACGCGAAACCGCGGGCUCAUUCAUCGUCCCUUCCGGCUCCGACAGGUCAGCAUGCCCGGCCCGCACGGCGACAGCCCAACCCACUGGCCGGAGUUGGCGGAAGAAAACGGCAUGCAACGUCGACCUCCGGCUCUCCGCCAACCGUACCGGCCGGAGGGAGUGAAGGGUCGGCACUCCUCCAUCCUUAUCCGGUGCCACGUGACCGGGCCCCACGGGAAUCCCGCCGGCCACUCGCGCCCCGCCACGCCGGCCGCCGGGCCCCGCUCCGGCGGGCCGCCGUUCCCAGUGGAAGCACCGCGUGUCCGGGAAACUCCACGUCAAUCCACAUCCGAGGACCAGAGAUUCCGGGCUGGGACAAAAACACGCCCAGUCCAGAUCCAACUUGUCAUCACAUUCAGAGUCAGGUGCACAUCCAGAUCCUCCAUGAAUUACCACCCCAGCCCAGGGGUUAA